rnacentral:rRNA from 1 species
GACGAACGCUGGCGGCGUGCCUAAUACAUGCAAGUCGAACGCAGUGGGGACGGGUGAGUAACACGUGGGUAACCUCCCAUCAGAGGGGAUAACACUUGGAAACAGGUGCUAAACCGAUACUGAUGGAUGAACCCGCGUUGCAUUAGCUAGUUGGUGAGGUAACGGCUCACCAAGGCCCCGAUGCAUAGCCGACCGGAGAGGGUGAUCGGCGACACUGGGACUGAGACACGGCCCAGACUCCUACGGAAGGCAGCAGGGGGGAAUAUUGGACAAUGGGCGCAAGCCUGAUGCAGCCAUGCCGCGUGUAUGAAGAAGGCCUUAGGGUUGUAAAGUACUGUCAGCGGGGAGGCGUUACCCGCAGAAGAAGCAACGGCUAACUACGUGCCAGCCGCCGCGGUAAUUC